rnacentral:rRNA from 1 species
AGAGUUUGAUCAUGGCUCAGAUUGAACGCUGGCGGCAGGCCUAACACAUGCAAGUCGAGCGGUAGCACAAGAGAGCUUGCUCUCUGGGUGACGAGCGGCGGACGGGUGAGUAAUGUCUGGGGAACUGCCUGAUGGAGGGGGAUAACUACUGGAAACGGUAGCUAAUACCGCAUAACGUCUUCGGACCAAAGUGGGGGACCUUCGGGCCUCACGCCAUCAGAUGUGCCCAGAUGGGAUUAGCUAGUGGGUGGGGUAAUGGCUCACCUAGGCGACGAUCCCUAGCUGGUCUGAGAGGAUGACCAGCCACACUGGAACUGAGACACGGUCCAGACUCCUACGGGAGGCAGCAGUGGGGAAUAUUGCACAAUGGGCGCAAGCCUGAUGCAGCCAUGCCGCGUGUGUGAAGAAGGCCUUCGGGUUGUAAAGCACUUUCAGCGAGGAGGAAGGGUAGUGUGUUAAUAGCACAUUGCAUUGACGUUACUCGCAGAAGAAGCACCGGCUAACUCCGUGCCAGCAGCCGCGGUAAUACGGAGGGUGCAAGCGUUAAUCGGAAUUACUGGGCGUAAAGCGCACGCAGGCGGUUUGUUAAGUCAGAUGUGAAAUCCCCGCGCUUAACGUGGGAACUGCAUUUGAAACUGGCAAGCUAGGGUCUUGUAGAGGGGGGUAGAAUUCCAGGUGUAGCGGUGAAAUGCGUAGAGAUCUGGAGGAAUACCGGUGGCGAAGGCGGCCCCCUGGACAAAGACUGACGCUCAGGUGCGAAAGCGUGGGGAGCAAACAGGAUUAGAUACCCCGGUAGUCC